GAGACACCCUUCUGGGGCGCGACUUGCUUCAGUGGGGCUUUGGUGCUCACUGAGACUGCACCCUGAGUGUGUCCUCU
rfam:Myotis davidii contig165902, whole genome shotgun sequence.